UACAGAGGGUGCGAGCGUUAAUCGGAAUUACUGGGCGUAAAGCGUGCGUAGACGGCUAUCUAAGUCGGGUGUGAAAGCCCCGGGCUCAACCUGGGAAUUGCAUUCGAGACUGAAUAGCUAGGGUACGGUAGAGGGAAGCGGAAUUUCCGGUGUAGCGGUGAAAUGCGUAGAUAUCGGAAGGAACAUCAGUGGCGAAAGCGGCUUCCUGGACCAGUACCGACGUUCAGGCACGAAAGCGUGGGGAGCGAACCGG
rnacentral:rRNA from 1 species